UCGGGAAUUUUGGGCAAUGGGCGAAAGCCUGACCCAGCAACGCCGCGUGAAGGAUGAAGUAUUUCGGUAUGUAAACUUCGAAAGAAUGGGAAGAAUAAAUGACGGUACCAUUUAUAAGCUCCGGCUAACUACGUGCCAGCAGCCGCGGUAAUACGUAGGGAGCAAGCGUUGUUCGGAUUUACUGGGCGUAAAGGGCGCGUAGGCGGCGCGGUAAGUCACUUGUGAAAUCUCUGAGCUUAACUCAGAACGGCCAAGUGAUACUGCAGUGCUAGAGUGCAGAAGGGGCAAUCGGAAUUCUUGGUGUAGCGGUGAAAUGCGUAGAUAUCAAGAGGAACACCUGAGGUGAAGACGGGUUGCUGGGCUGACACUGACGCUGAGGCGCGAAAGCCAGGGGAGCAAACGGGAUUAGAUACCCCCGUAGUCCCUGAGCGGGCUGGCAAGGCGCAU
rnacentral:rRNA from 1 species